GAGUUUGAUCAUGGCUCAGAUUGAACGCUGGCGGCAGGCCUAACACAUGCAAGUCGAGCGGUAGAGAGAAGCUUGCUUCUCUUGAGAGCGGCGGACGGGUGAGUAAUGCCUAGGAAUCUGCCUGGUAGUGGGGGAUAACGCUCGGAAACGGACGCUAAUACCGCAUACGUCCUACGGGAGAAAGCAGGGGACCUUCGGGCCUUGGCGCUAUCAGACGAGCCUAGGUCGGAUUAGCUAGUUGGUGAGGUAAUGGCGUCACCAAGGCGACGAUCCGUAACUGGUCUGAGAGGAUGAUCAGUCACACUGGAACUGAGACACGGUCCAGACUCCUACGGGAGGCAGCAGUGGGGAAUAGUUGGACAAUGGGCGAAAGCCUGAUCCAGCC
rnacentral:rRNA from 1 species